rnacentral:rRNA from 1 species
AUUGAACGCUGGCGGCAGGCCUAACACAUGCAAGUCGAGCGGAUGAUGGGAGCUUGCCCCUUGAUUCAGCGGCGGACGGGUGAGUAAUGCCUAGGAAUCUGCCUGGUAGUGGGGGACAACGUUUCGAAAGGAACGCUAAUACCGCAUACGUCCUACGGGAGAAAGCAGGGGACCUUGGGGCCUUGCGAUGUCAGAUGAGCCUAGGUCGGAGUAGCUGGUUGGUGAGGUAAUGGCUCACCAAGGCGACGAUCCGUAACUCGUCUGAGAUGAUGGUCCGUCACACUGGAACUGAGACACGGUCCAGACUCCUACGGGAGGCAGCAGUGGGGAAUAUUGGACAAUGGGCGAAAGCCUGAUCCAGCCAUGCCGAGUGUGUGAAGAAGGUCUUCGGAUUGUAAAGCACUUUAAGUUGGGAGGAAGGGUCGUAGAUUAAUACUCUGCAAUUUUGACGUUACCGACAGAAUAAGCACCGGCUAACUCUGUGCCAGCCGCCGCAGUAAAAC